rnacentral:rRNA from 1 species
UACGAAGGAUGCAAGCGUUAUCCGGAUUCAUUGGGUUUAAAGGGUGCGUAGGCGGACUUGUAAGUCAGUGGUGAAAUCUCUCAGCUUAACUGAGAAACUGCCAUUGAUACUGCAGGUCUAGAGUAUAGAAGACGUUGGCGGAAUAUGACAUGUAGUGGUGAAAUACUUAGAUAUGUCAUAGAACACCGAUUGCGAAGGCAGCUAACGAAACUAUAACUGACGCUGAGGCACGAAAGUGCGGGGAUCAAACAGG